CUUCUAACGGAUUAUUCUUUAUAGCUUGCUAGAACGAACGCUGGCGGCAAGCCUAACACAUGCAAGUCGAGCGCACUCUUUUAGAGUGAGCGGCAAACGGGUGAGUAACGCGUGGGAAUCUACCCAUCUCUACGGAAUAACACAGAGAAAUUUGUGCUAAUGCCGUAUACGUCCUGAGGGAGAAAGAUUUAUCGGAGAUGGAUGAGCCCGCGUUGGAUUAGCUAGUUGGUGAGGUAAAGGCUCACCAAGGCGACGAUCCAUAGCUGGUCUGAGAGGAUGAUCAGCCACACUGGGACUGAGACACGGCCCAGACUCCUACGGGAGGCAGCAGUGGGGAAUAUUGGACAAUGGGGGCAACCCUGAUCCAGCCAUGCCGCGUGAGUGAUGAAGGCCCUAGGGUUGUAAAGCUCUUUCACCGGUGAAGAUAAUGACGGUAGCCGGAGAAGAAGUCCCGGCAAACUCA
rnacentral:rRNA from 1 species